rnacentral:rRNA from 1 species
UCCGGCUAACUUCGUGCCAGCAGCCGCGGUAAUACGAAGGGACCUAGCGUAGUUCGGAAUUACUGGGCUUAAAGAGCACGUAGGUGGUUAAGAAAGUUGGUGGUGAAAUCCCAAGGCUUAACCUUGGAACUGCCACCAAAACUUUUUAACUAGAGUAUGAUUGAGGUAAGCGGAAUUUCUAGUGUAGAGGUGAAAUUCGUAGAUAUUAGAAAGAACACCAAUUGCGAAGGCAGCUUUCUGGAUCAUUACUGACACUGAGGUGCGAAAGCAUGGGUAGCGAAGAGGAUUAGAUACCCUCGUAGUCCAUGCCGUAAACGAUGUGUGCUAGACGUUGGGAAUUUAUUUUUCAGUGUCGCAGCAAAAGCGUUAAGCACACCGCCUGGGGAGUACGACCGCAAGGUUAAAACUCAAAUGAAUUGACGGGGACCCGCACAAGUAGUGGAGCAUGUGGUUUAAUUCGAAGAUACGCGCAGAACCUUACCAACACUUGACAUGUUCGUCGCGACUCUAAGAGAUUAGAGUUUUCGGUUCGGCCGGACGAAACACAGGUGCUGCAUGGCUGUCGUCAGCUCGUGUCGUGAGAUGUUGGGUUAAGUCCCGCAACGAGCGCAACCCUUACUUUUAGUUGCUACCAUUUAGUUGGGCACUCUAGAAGAACUGCCGGUGAUAAGCUGGAGGAAGGUGGGGAUGACGUCAAGUCCUCAUGGCCCUUAUGUGUUGGGCUACACACGUGCUACAAUGGUAUUUACAGUGGGAUGCAAAGAGGCAACUCCAAGCCAACCCUCAAAGAAUACCUCAGUUCGGAUUGUACUCUGCAACUCGAGUACAUGAAGCUGGAAUUACUAGUAAUCGCAGAUCAGCGCGCCGCGGUGAAUACGUUCCCGGGUCUUGUACACACCGCCCGUCACACCAUGGAAGUUGGUUACACCUUAAGGCAAAGUGUAAA